AAUUACUGUACUUGAUCCCAAAUUUUGCAGCUUAAAUACAUAUUACACCUCGAGUACCCAACCAUUCCACAAAAGAUAUUCUGAAAUUCCACCUGUGCCACCAAACAAACUCAGAUAUCAAUAGUCGAUCUAUCAAGAAAAUGUCGCAACACUACCGAAGUGCUAUCAACUUAAUCACAUUGCCCUUUUUCUGAAACAUAUACCCUCGUCAAAUCACUAUGAUUAGCAACACCAUUUCCUUGGUGAUAUGAGGACCAUUCACCCUAAUCAUCUGAAGAUCGAUUCUUAAAUCACCUGCAGCUGCCCGUGCUGCUUAAGAGUUUAAUGAAUUUCCAUUCCGAACUGAACCGAGCCUUACACACGCAAAUCUCAA
rnacentral:lncRNA from 1 species